rnacentral:lncRNA from 1 species
CCAUCCACUUUCCUAGGAAAGUUAUAUAUAAUUCCUAUUAUGCCCUUAAUAAAAAUUAGAUUUUUAAUGCCUCUUUAAUGCUUCUUUAAUGCUGAAAGGACUUUUUGGGAAAAAGUAAAAAUGGAGUGAUUCCCGCCUCAUGGGAAAGUUACUUUCCCAUGUUUCUCAUGGGAAAGACUUUCCCAUGAAAUGUGGGAAUCACAUUCCCAUGGGAAUAUNNNNNNNNNNNNNNNNNNNNAAAGACUUUCCCAUGAAAUGUGGGAAUCACAUUCCCAUGGGAAUAUAACUUUCCCUUCUCUCUCCUUUGAAAAACUCCAACCAAACAAGAGGCAUCUCAUUACUUUUCCGUUGACCACACUUUCCCCCCUCUUUUUCCCACGAACCAAACGAGCCCUAAGGAUUGGGGCCAUUACGAUUUUCUACACUUUCUAUGCUAGCUUCUCCUCAGUGUAACUGUAUCAAAACCUUUUAUACCUGAUAUCCCUCGUAUGACUCUCAUGAUAGCAAAUCCUUUACAACGUUAAUUGUAAGAAUUUCCUAAAUUUCAAGUUAGUAGCAAAUACUGAUAAACUAAAAUUGCUCGUUUAUGGGAUCCACCACCCCAAAAACGAACACACUUAAGUUUAUGAUUGA